rnacentral:rRNA from 1 species
AGCGAACGCUGGCGGCAGGCCUAACACAUGCAAGUCGAGCGCCCCGCAAGGGGAGCGGCAGACGGGAGAGUAACACGUGGGAACGUACCCUUCAGUUCGGAACAACCCAGGGAAACCUGGGCUAAUACCGAAUACGUCCGUAAGGAGAAAGAUUUAUCGCUGAAGGAUCGGCCCGCGUCUGAUUAGCUAGUUGGUGAGGUAACGGCUCACCAAGGCGACGAUCAGUAGCUGGUCUGAGAGGAUGAUCAGCCUCACUGGGACUGAGACACGGCCCAGACUCCUACGGGAGGCAGCAGUGGGGAAUAUUGGACAAUGGGCGCAAGCCUGAUCCAGCCAUGCCGCGUGGAUGAUGAAGGCCCUAGGGUUGUAAAGUCCUUUCGGCGGGGAAGAUAAUGACGGUACCCGCAGAAGAAGCCCCGGCUAACUUCGUGCCAGCCGCCGCAGUAAGAC